GGGCGCUUAGCUCAGCGGGAGAGCACUACGUUGACAUCGUAGGGGUCGUUGGUUCAAUCCCAACAGCGCCCACCA
rnacentral:tRNA from 1 species